ACACCUCAACUCUCACGGUCCGCCGUGAUGAGCUUGGACUUUGGGGGUCUUGCUGGCCUGCGGUCGGCUCUUCUCAAAUGAAUCAGCUUGCCAGUGUUUGGUGGCAUCACGGGUGUGAUAACUAUCUACGCUUGUGGUUUUCCACCAGGUAACCUUCAGCAAUGGAGGUUCGCUGGGGCUCACAAAUGUCCCUCCUCGGCGAGGACAGCUUCUUGAAU
rnacentral:misc_RNA from 1 species